UAUAAAAAUCUUUUUUUAUAA
rnacentral:tRNA from 1 species